CUGGUGUCUGCUGCUGCCGCCAUCUGUAGACUGUAAAUCUGCCAACUCGGUUUUCUUCUAGACAUCCCCAGGAGAGAUGAGUUUGCUGAUCCCAUUAGUCCUCUUGAAUGCCAGCCACAUGCUGAAGAGAGAUCCCAAGAGAACAGUGCAUACGACUGGCUGAGGAGGUGCAAUGACUUACACUGUGUAGGCUGCAAGCAACACCGUAAGUGUUAGGCAAGGAGUGGAUGCCAUUAUAUUCCCUCUAGGAUGGAGGGAGAGUGGCGUGGCAGUCAUGCUUGCAAAGCAGCUCAACUUUCUCCAUCUGUAGCAAAUCACAGAAUAUCCUGAGUUGGAAGAAAUGCACAAGGGCCAUCAAGUACAACUCCUGGCUCCACAUAGGACCACACAAAAAUCAGACCAUAUAUCUGAGAGCAUUGUUCAGAUGUUUCUUGAAUUCCAGCAAGCUCAGUACCACAGCAUGUGUUCUGGGGAGCCCAUUCCAGUGCCCAACCACACAGCAUGAAAGAUACCUCAAACUCACCAACACUCUUAUUUGUAGGAAAGCACUGAUAUUGACAUUUCCCAGCAAACAUCAAGAGAAGAGCACCUUUUUGAAAUUUUCUUUAGGAAACCAGAGUUUUUGUUGAUCCUAGCAUUUUCCUCAAACUCAUACCAUAGGACUGUUCUUAGUAUAUUCACAUAUACUGGGUUGCUCUUAUCCAAACAGUUAUCACUAGAAAAAUUGAUGCUUGAUACCUCACUUUAUUCACAGAGAAUCCUGGCUUUUCAUUGCCAGUUUGAAGAAAGGUUUGAGAAGACAAGAAACUCCUACUUCUGAGAAGCUUUUCCCUGACAGCCAGGCUGUGCUGAAGCUGAGGUUGGCAGCAGUCACCUCAGCCACUCCACCCAGCUACCUGCGCAUGUAUGGUGACUCAGCUUCUAAUGACACAGUCACACAUUCAUUUUUCCACUGAACCCGUCCCCUUUGACAGCUUGCAAUGAAUGGAAGAGUUGAUCAGUGUUUAUUUUUAUCUUGUCUUUUUUAAUUUGAGUUCUACUUUUGGGGCAACUGUCAAAAGCAUAUUUAGCCACUUUGGAAAAAACUUGGCACACAAAGACCUCCAGAACUAUGGCUAAGCAAAGGCAUAGUUCUUAACAGAAGAUAAUUCUGCUUCAUACUUCUAACUGUGCUAAUGGAGGGACCCAGUAGCGUUUCACAGGAGACCUGUGUAGGUUUGAGAUGCAGUGCUGAUAUUUCAGCUUCAGGGGAAUGAGGAAGCUAUUGCACAGCACUGUGUUGUUGCUACCCCAUACAGACUACCAUCCUGCUCCAUUUUGAAAAGGAAUACUAUUCAAAUAAUUGCAAAUGAAACAUUUAGUGGUACAGCUGGCCACAGGCCCAAGAGACGUAGGAACAAUACAGGCUGAGUCAACAACUGCUGGCUUAACAAGGCACAGGUGUGUAGGCAGAAUUACAAGACCAAACAUCUACAGUGCUUCCUUGUUCUUUGAACAGUUGACCUUCACAUCAUUUCCCCCCCUUUCCUUCAGUGCUGUCCUCUCUGCCAUCAGAGGCAUGAUCUCCUCAUGCUUCUCUCCUUCCACUCUUCCUCAUGCUGGGAGGUUUGACAAGAGGCUGGCACAGGGCCUGGGCAGAGCCUGUUGCUUCCUGUAAGCCUUUCUUAAACCAAAACUGCUCUUCAGAACUGGCUGGACCUCCCUCACAGGCCCACCCUCUCCUUGCUACUGGGAUUACUGGAGGUAGAAGUUCUUCCCCUCACUAUGCAUAGCCUCACAAGCAGCAGCUCACCUGCUGCUUGCUUCUUCUGACCAGGUGUGCUGCCCUCCCAGCAGAAGGGAAUGAAGCUUUGGCUUUGUGCACUUCUGAAUAAGACUUCCCAUUUAUUCAUGUCAGCUCCUGUAUAUGGAUCUCCCCCCCAGUUUUCAUUGUUGGAUGGGAGGGCAAUGUUUCAGCCACAGAGGACUGCAUCAUUCAUUAGCCCUGACUGGUUCAUUUCUUUCUCUGGCACAAGAAGUGAGCAAGCAUGCUGGUUUCCUUACAGAUACAGGUGCCUGCAGUCCAUGCAUGCCCAGCUGUGUAACCUUCAGGUGAGCUUCUUGCCAUACUUGACAUUGGCAGGUGCCUGGCAUGUGUUGCAAAUGAGUAGAAAGGAAAGAGCUCAAGUGCACUUGUGCACUGGUCUGCAGGACAUUGAACAGGACUCCAGUUACUCAGAAAAUAUCUGAUAUCCAUCAUUAGAAAAAAUACUGGGAGGCUUUGUAAGAAACCUUUCUAUUGAUUCACAUCACAUCUAACAGUGAUUUUUCUGUGAACCUGCCCAUCCCAUCUCCCUUCCCCCCAGAUUCCUCCUGCUCCCUGGUUACUACAGGGGGAAUGCCUUGAACGAAGAUCACCAUUUAUAAGCUAUUAGUGGCUAUUGUAAUACAAGGCCCACAGACACAACCAAGGCUCCGUUGUUUUUGUUGAUACAACCAUACAGAUGUCAUGAGUCCCUACUACAGGGCUGGCACAGAAAUGAAACAGCAGAUCACAGAAGUCUUUGAAAUAUUACCCCCACCUGCUUGUUCAGAGUUCAGCUAAGCCAGCAGUGUUCCCCAGAGAGUGGCAUUACUAAAACCUCGUGGUGAGCCGACACCACAGGCUAGAAGAGAAGAAUAAUAUUUCUAAUAAGUGGACUGGCAGAGUUCAAAGGGAUAAUAAGCAUUUAAAUUCAACAUGAAAGACAUCUUCCUCUUCAGAGCUUUAGGAAGGAAAGUAGCCAGGCAGAUAAACUAUUUAAAAGCCCCUUUAAUCAAGGCUAUUAACAUAGAGAUUUUUGUCUUAAUUAAAAACAUCUCCAUUCAGUCGCAUUAAAGAGAAAGUGAUACAAAAUGUAAUUUAUUCUUCUAUUUGAAACUUUUAGAAGAACUGCAAAAACAUUUUUUGCAGAGAACCCCUCCUUCAUUAAAAGUUAUCUUUGAGAAAAAGAUUAAUUUAGUCUAUCCCGCUGCUCACAUUUUCAUUUGGAGUGAACUGUACACUUGUAUUGCUACUUUUGUAGAAAGCCUACUUUCUUGGCUUCCCAAAUAUUUGAAUUUCUGACCAUGAGCAAUAAGACAGGCAAAUAUUUAUUCUCAGAAAUUUCCUGGGGUCUCAAAAGAAGCUGAAGAAAACAAUGAACUUCAAAGAGGCAUCCCCAGCAAAAAAAAAAAAAUGAGGUGGUGCCUACGGUCUGGAUGGACUUGUGUUGCAAGGGCAAUGUAGGCAUACAUAGAGAGCAAGAGGAAAGUGAAUAGGAUCAGAGUAGGCCUUGAAGAUUGGGAGUACCAGGAAAACUUCACAAAUAAGCAUGGCAUCUACCUGAAAAUAAAUAGUUCUCAGCAGGAUAAGGGUUGCUGUUCACUUCAUUUCAGCCAGACUUGCAGACCUGUGUCGUUACAGAGGAAGAGCAGCAUAUGGGACAGGCGUGAAGCCUGCCUGAUCCUCCCACAUGGUGCAGUCUGCCAGCUAAGAAACCUAACCCCAGGCAGGGAAAAUAUCACCAUCUGACAGAGUUUUGCCAGCAUGAAGCAGCAUUUCUCUCAAACCGUGAAGCAGUUCUGCGGGACAGCCAUGGUGUUGCCAAGGAUAGAUGCUGUUGUUGUUACUAAAUCUGAAAGGGUUAUGGAGUCAUUUGCUCAUCAGUUUCCUAUUUCUUUGCAUUUCUCAGAAAUUUUGGUAAUUUCUCUUCUGAUUCAUUCAUCCUUGCCCAGCCAAUGCUGACUGAACUGAUAGAUGCAGGCACAUGUGGUAAUACCUCAGCUACAUCAUAACAUAACCUUUCAGUUAUAGUGCAGACACGUGCUGACUCAGCAACAUUGCCUUGGCCCUGGGACUUGGUUGGUCACCUUCAGCAAAGUGCCUUUUGUCAGACUGCAGAUACCUAGAAAUGGGUUUAGAGAUGUUCCAUGUUCUUCAUUAUGUCUUGAACAGUACAGUGUCAAGGGUCAUCUUGUCCUCUCAUAAUAGCCAAAGUGAUCAAAUACCCCAUUAUCCAAACUAAGCAGCAGCAGAAUAACCAAGCACCUCUUGUUGAGAGUAGAAUGGUCCCACACAACCACUGAUCUGCCCAGUAUGUUUCUUCCAUACUCCCCUCAGUCCCGCAGUGCUUUAUUUCGAGCAACAAAUAUUGCUGUCUUGUGGUAGUCACACUAAAUUUGGGCUAAUUAAAGGACAGCAGUCCUAUCUGAGCAGAAAGAUCUGCAGUGUCGGCCUGUGCUGCCUACUGAGGCUGCUGCCUGCCAGAGCUCUUCCAAGAGUUGGGCUGCUCCCUGGAGCUCUCUAAAAAGUGUUAUGUAUAUAUAUUGUCCUACAGGUAUAUGUGGGUGCAGAGGAACAUCUGCGUUUUUAAAGGGAAGGAACACCUGCAUCAUCAUCAUCACCACCUAUAAAAUGGAAAGUAACUUCAAAGCAGCUCAGUCUCCCCAUUUUGCCCUUCAGAAAUGGGGUGACACACUCAUUUUUACCAGCCUCUAUUUGCCUCGUUUCCUAGAAGGGAUGGUGCAGGCUGUGAGCCGAACAGAGCUGUGCCAGCUUAUGGCAGCAGUCACCUGGCCCACACACUCCUGUGAGAUGUCGUAAGCUUACUAAGCCCCGAGUGCUGCCUCACUCUGCUUUGUGCAUUACAGACCACCUUUCCUUGAAUGUAACCUUUCUGGAGAUGCAGAAAAGGCAGGAUCUGCCUGAGCUGCUCGGAUGAGUCCUAGGCAUUAAAUCUAUUUCACUCUUACUUGAAACUAAAUCAAUUUAAGGAUUGUUUGAUGGCUUUAGUUAAUUAGCCAGGUUUCUAUUUGAUGUUUGUUACUUUUAAAUUCAAUAAGAAAAGAUUACUUUCAGUAUUGUCUCUUCAGAUAAGCAGCAUUACCUGCUUCUCCUGAUAUAGUCAUCUCUUAUUAAAGUAGCCAAGGAGGAUUCACUGUUGCCACUUGAAGCUAAAGAAAUGUCAGAGGUAUUAAAACAUUGACAUUUUGCUGCAGUUAGAUCUCUGAGAUCAGCCAGACAGCUGCCUCAAGGCUAGGUACCAGAUUACUCAUCUGAUUUUGUUGCUGUGAUAUGGCAUUUUUGCAUACAAUUACUGUUAGUCACUCCCUCUGGUGUCAGCCUCUACACCAAUUCCCUUGCACCAUUUGUCAUGGUUAUAAUGGUCUCCACAUGGCCAGCACCAGAAACCCAGAGCUACUUGUAAUGUUUGUUUCAGUAAUAAAAUAAGAACAUCCUAAAAUCCUUGUUUCCUUUACCAGUACAAAAUGAGAUGGUGCAUAUGAUCUGCUCAGCAAAUGCUGAGUAUAACAGGAUGAAAUCCUUAGGGUGCAGAAGGUUUGGAUAGCUCAGCUGCGUCUGGAUGCCCUAACAAAGGGUUUUUACUUUUAAAUGACUUUCCUUCCAUCCACCUCUCCCAAUCUCACUUCCGUUUUAUUACAAAUCUUUCCAAGAGUACUAAAAACAACAACAAGAUAAAAAUAACUUGCUUGGUGCCCUAACACUACCUGUGCAUUCAAGAUGCCUGUUUCUGGUUACCUGCUGUACCCCUCAGCCUUGUGUCAGGGCCUUUCAGCUUACCACUGCCUGUAUUUUUGAUCUUGCCUGACUUAAGAUCACACAACAGCAGACAGCAGUCUUUCCACCAUACAGAGGCAGGUUACUCUUUGUUUUGGCUGAGAAAAACUGCAGGAUGCCCUGGAUUUAUCUGACCAGUUCCAGCAAGCUGAAUAUCUUUUUGGCAAUGAAGAAGAGGAGCUUUCCUCAUUUCCAUGUCUUUGUUAAAUGAGGUUACAAGAUAUGUGCUGUAAGCAGUACAACAGUAACGUUUGGCUGACAGUGUCAUAACUUCUUCCUAACCCAUUACCUGGUAGGGCAGACAAAGCAGUGCAGAAGAAGCCUGAGUAACAUUAGGAAAUAUUUUUCCUCAAGUUGACUGUUUCAAACUGCAAUGAACUUCAGGAAAGAAAGUCCAUCACCACUAUCACUACAAUCUCCACAGGGUAGCAAAGCCCUGACCAAGGUACAGCAAGACAUUAUUGUCUUCUCACUGACUCUUCUCCUGGUCUUGGUGUUUCCACUGAUUUGUAUAGUGGUCCAGGGCUGUACAGUAAAUCUUAGAGAAACAACAACAAUCUGAACAGUGAACUCUCCUUAUCAGUAUCCCAUGUACUUUUCCUUCCUUUCCUUUGGCAGUGAAUGCAUUGGUUCAAAGACAAGUGUCCUCCCAAGAGCAUCCCUGAAUGCUCUGACUGCUAUUUGAUAAGAGAAAUGGAAGAAACCCACAAAAUUAUAAGAAGAGAUCAGAAGCUAUUGAUCUACUUAAAGAUAUUGGUACUUUAAUCAACUCAGGUCAAUGAGCUCUGGAGAUCCUUUCCAACCAAUAUCAUUACAGCUAUGUCAUAUUAAAGUCAUACAAAGUAUUAGAAAGGGAGUACUGAAAAAAUUCAGUACUAAAUUUAACACCUGCAACACACUAGAAUGCACAAUAAUGAAAGCAUAGCAGCACGACCCCAGACCACAACAGGUGAGGAACCAAUCAAACAUGACAGCAGUAAGUAGAGAAAUAAAGAAAAGACUCUACUUACCUUUGAGAGGCCUCAAGCACACAAAAAUCCCUAAAAAGACACCCUCAGCUCCCCUGGCAACCCUUAAAUGAGGUCUGGGAAAGGAUGGAUCCUGGCUCCACCCUUUCCUGUCAUUCAGGUGCAUUGCUUGCACCUGAGCUCCCCUAGGUUGGCCCUGCCUUCCUACCAGGUGCUCAAUCAAUGUUUCAAGCAGUGACUUCCAUUUCCAGUUUUCAAUAGUACCCCAAGUCUCUGAGAGACGUUAUCCUCAGGAGCAGAUGAACCCUCUCCAUGCACUGUGGAGGAUGGUUUAUCAUUUCAUCGAAGCCGAUUUAAUUUUCAUGAGGGACAAUCCCUUUUCGCUUCCCACCCCUGCACUCACCACCUUCCUUCAGCCAACAUUUGCAUUUUCAGGUGUUACAAGGUGGAUGAACAAAGUAGUUGUUUUGUUACUGCAUUCAUUUUCCAGAACAUCAACUCCCUGACACGCUUAAUGGUACAAAGACAAAAGCCUAGCAGCAGUCCAAAGCAUACAGCAGGAGCACUGUGCCGUAGAAGGGCAAGGACCUGUCUUUCCAAUGGCAUCUCGGUCCAAGAUCAGAGUAAACCACAUAUAGUACUAUCCUCUGCAGCGGGACUACUUCCAGCUCCUAUGGCUCUGGUUCACUGAGAGAGCUGCCAAUGCCACUCAGCCUCAGUGUGCAUUUAGAAGUAUUCUAGUAAUUUAUUUUAGCAGCUCUUGUGUACACACGUAUACUGCUUCCUUUCCGCCUGCUGCACCCCUUUUUGCCUUGUCCAAGGCUAGAGUUAUGUUGAAUCACAAAUUGUGGCUUAUGAUUUAUUAUUAUUUUUAAAGAUUCCAGAUUCUUACUAGCUGCAGAGCUGUGCAGUGGUAGCAAAAAAGGCCAUAGAUGUUCUACAUCUGUGUGAGCUUUUAUUUUACAUAUAUAUAUACAAUAUAUAUAUAAUGAUUAUAAUUAGGUGCCAGAGAUGCAGAUAAGCAUCAGUGGUGUUUACUAGCAUGAUAAUAUGGGAAAGAAAUGCACUUUUAUUCAUCUGGAUGAUUUUCAUGUUUUAUCUAUCCUUCAAAAGGUUUGAAGCCCAAUGCAUGCAGGAGCAUGGAACAUUUAUAGGUUAUGGUCCUGUGUGUGUUUUCCUAAGUUACUAUCUGAGCAUAAACAACGCUUAUUGGACUUUAGGACGAGACGUGCCAAAGGAACUGUGCCAGCUCUCCCCACAAAGGUUGCAGUGCCAGAACAGGAUGGCCAGGAGCUGCCAGGGGAGACAGGAACUGCCCUGGGAUGAUCUAAGGAUAGAAGUCAUACACAUUGCAUGAAUACAGGAACAGGUAAACAGCUGAGCCGUAAAAGUUUCUCUCCAGGCAUGUUUUCAACAAAAUGCCAUCACACACUGUCUGGUGAUACAUGCUGCUACCCAGAUGGAACAAAACGGGCGAUUUAAUGUUCCUCAUUCACUUUUAAUAACCUCGGACUGAUGGAGAGGUACACGAAAACAUAAGGAAUAGGAACGCCUUGGCACCAUAACCAGAAGACGGACAGCAUACAGGUUGUGUCUGAUUACCCAGCAAUGUCAUCGGAGUGCUCUGAAAUCUGCAGUCCAGAUGUGAAGUCUGGUUACUUCCUUACAAAACCAACCUGUUCUGAGUAUCAAGAAGCAACUGAAAAUCUUUCGGCAUUGGGGGUAAAGAGGCACUCUGGAGAGAAGGUGAAUUUUCCCCACUGCAAUUAAGACAGAAGAAGAGAUAUCCGGCCAAUUCCCUUAUGCACAGAGUGUGAAAGAGCUGCACAGUACCUGUCCGCCAGCGAUAUCGGUUUAUGUGACGUGUAUAUUGUCUGCACUGUUGGAGUCGGCACAGGCUCUGCUAGGGAUCUCAGUACAGGAGAUUUUGGUACCGGUGAAAGCUUGGGAGACGACUGCACCACACAGCACUGCAAUUUGCUGUCUGUGAACUCUGCCUACAAAAGAUGCACACAGACACGGAGAGAAGAAAGUGUAGAUUAGCUUCUACUGCUCUUGCUCACUCCCAUCCUGUUCAUUGCCAAACCUUCAUUACCAGCAGCUAAUAAAGAGAAGGAGAGGCUGCAGGUUGCAGUGCAAGCUGCGUGUUCAUGGAGCGGCCAACUCUGCUGUCAGCUCUCACAACCUUUUGGCAGGGAUUCUUUCUUGUGCCAAACCAUAGUGGGUACCACUAAGGUGUAUGUGUGACCUGGGAAGGUCAUGGAGCAACUGCAGGCUGCCUGUACCUUGGGACCCUUGGGGUACGCUCCUUCUGGAUUCCUAUCAUGGCAACUUCUGUUCAGACUUUGUAGCAGGGAGGAAAAAAAGUCACCGUCGUAAGGGAGCAUAUGAUAUUUAUCCAGCUAUGUGAAUAGCUAAUUUUCUGUCUUAAUUUUUUCCUCAAAAUCUGCAAGGCACAUGACAUUAAUGCUAAAAAAAAAACCAACUAAUUCAACCAGUGGGACAAUUAUUUGGGCCCAGGAAAGCAUGGCUGUGUUAGGUUCAUUUGCUUUCUGUCAUUUUUAGCAUGUCCCUGCUCAUGUUUCAACUAAAAGCAUCUGAUGUGCCCCAAGAGAAGCUCUGAAGCAACGGGAAUUCCAUUAAUUCCAUGGAAUUUAGAAAAUGGAAAGUGUAAAACCAACUAAAGAAACUCUCCUUCUUCAACCCUGGUCAAUCUUAUGUGUAAAUACUGGCUAAUACAGCCUGUUCUGACUUCUCUCCCACUCAGCUUUUAGAGCUCAGCCUUACAGGCUACAGGGACAUCGGUUUGGUGCUCCAUAGUCUAAGGGAUGAGCAUGAGCCGCAGCACCACCUGCAAAGGUGAUGUAAGUUUUCCCAGCCCUACUGAAACCAGCAGUGCUAUGGCAAAUUACACUUGCUAAAGAUUUGUCCCGAGUCCUAAAGUGUGUUUGCUUGGGAUGAUGGUUUUACUGCAUAUAUCCAAUGCAUCUUUUUAUAUAUGUAUGCGUUUACAUAUAUAUGCAUGUUUGAAAAAAAUAUUUUCCUGGUCUAAACAGAUACAAUUCCAUUAUCUUAAGUCUGUGUGACUUCUACUCAUAGACAGUACGGCCAUUAAGCCUGCUGUUUCUCCCUGGAAAUUUCUGAAAUUCAGAGGGGUUCCUGGCAUGAACCUUCUUUUUAAAGAUUAUAGGAAACCAAAUUCUCUGUUUUUUCCUCAACAUCAUUGCAUAUACACCACAAAAUUAGAAGCCAUGCCCUCAAUAACAUUUCAAUGUUCUGUUCCAAGCAAAAUAAAUGAAUAAAUAAGAAAAAGUGAAGGGGAAGCAGGGAAAAGGAAAACAAAACAAGGAACAGGAGUCAGAAAUGCUGGUAGCCAUCAGGGACUGUGUCUGGAGGAUACUUGGAGUGAGAUCCAACUGCAGGACUAACUCUGCCUUUCAGAUACUUUGCUGGGGAAAAGCAGCGUUUAGAUCCAGUCCCACAGUCAGGUUUAUUGUGAAAGAAAAGCCUCUUUCUUUAAAUCAGUAAGUGCAGCCAGUCACUGCACAUGGCCCAGCAGUGAGCUACGUUGUGAGUUACUAUGAUUCUGGGAUGGGUAUAGAUUGCUGCUACCAGUAAAAGUUAUGGUUGAAAUCUAAAAUGCUUGAUUCUGUCAGUGUAAUUUGACAAAACAGAAGCCAAUUACUGCGGUUUGCAAUUAGAGGCAGGGAACAGUUCUUACAAACCAGAACCACUUCUCACACUGGAAAGGAUGGGAAGGGUUAUAAUCAGAGUUCCACAUCCCAUAUUCCAUUAUAUCAAGUGCCCAAAAAUCUUUUAAAAUUCUCUGAGUUGUCUGAGUAGAUUAUUUUGGGACACUUAUUACAUAACGUUCUGCCCUUAAAAUAGGGCUUGGAUUGGACUUCUUUUUGAGUUGUCUAAUUGUUGAUACUCACACGCAGUUUACUUUACCAAAAGCUCUAAAUCCCACCAUCUCUGAAAGUUUAGUAAGAAUCAAGUAAUAUUUGAUUCAGGUUAUGAAGUAAACAUAGGAGUUUAAACAAGGAUACCAUUGUAGUCAUCAACAUGCUAACUAUAAUUCUUCCUUAGAAUUCAGAUGCAAAUUCAGUGAAAAUCCGGCUUCUUUUUGUGAUGGCACAGCAGGCAGUUUCAGGCAGCAGGCCAUGCAGUCACUAGAGAGAGGACUAAGUCAUCUCCACUCCCUUGGAAAGAUGCUGUUGAGCUUCGCAUGAGCCCUCAGCAGCCCUGAGCUGAGCAGCAUUUGGGGACUGGCUGUGUUAGCAGUGAGUUUCAUCAUUUGACUCUUAGUCCUCUGUCUAGUAUGCAUCAACAUCUGAAUGCAGGCACGUUCAUUAUUUGCAUAAUGGGAAUAUUUAACAGAUUUGCACUCUAAAGUCUGCUUGGAGCUUAUCUUUUUUUGAGGACUGUUUAAUGCAUAUGUUUCUAAUACUGUUAAAUGAUUCCUUGGAAUCGUGUUAAAUACACAGCUUUUCAGUUGCACAUUCUACUUACAGAAAACUGUGGUACUGUUGUAAAAGGAUCGAAAAAAGGAUUAGAUGUAUCAGCAGGGAAUGUCUUUAUCUUUAAAAAAGAUAAAGAAAAAGAUGUUACUUUCAGAGCAUAAAAAUGGAAAAGAAAAAAAAAAAAGCAGCAAAGCAUUGCAACUACAGUGAACAUAUCCAACAAAUCAGAGCGGUUCAGCAGUGCUUGGACCAGACCAGAAAAGACCCCUCCAGAAAUGCAUACAGAAACCUGAUGAGGAACAGUCAAAGCAUAAAUAUGAAAACCUGAGAGACACAAUUCAAUUUGUUGCGCACAGGAAGUACCUUCCAGUCCUGUAAACAGUCACCAGAUCAUUACCUGCUUCCUUCAGUGAGCACCGCAUUGUAAAAUAUGCAGUAUAAAAUGCAGGAACCCUUUUUUUCCAUUGCAGAAACUUCAUCUGAAGAACUUUACUUAUGCUAUACAUAUUUGGGACCUCCAAAUUUUCAGUUACACAGUUGCUGCCCAAGACAAACAAUCACUGAGAUGGGAUCGAAAGACAACUCUCUGUAAAACAAGCCUUGUGGACAGUGGUUUGCUUCAGGCAUCUGCUCGAACCUGGCUGUCUGCCUGUGUCCAGCGGUGGGCUGCCAAUCAGGGAUGAGCUUUGGGGGUUUCCAUCACAGGACUUGGGGUCACAGUCAGAGAUGAGCACGUCCCUGGGCCCCUGGGCAGAGAGGGCUAAGAAUGGCCAGGGCUCAGCCCCGAGCAUACUGUCACUUGCCCCACGGCCUGCUGGAAGUCACUUCUGCCCUUAGAACUACUUCAAAUGUUAAUGGAAAUUAAGGAAAUACUCAAAGUGGCAACAACUUCCACCCUGCUCCACUGCACGUGGUGUUUCUCACGAUUUUCCUCUCUGGAAUGCAGACGUUACUCAUUCAUUCAACGGGAAGACAAAAUAUCAAAUACUUUGAAUGGCACAUCAUGCUUUCCAUUUUGGAAAAAAAAAAACCACAUUUUUCAGUGUACAGUUGUGUUUUUCACUUGAUUAUAGAAAAUGCUGUGCAUUUGGUGUGCAUGUUUUCAAGCAUAAUUCACGAUCUCCAGCUAUAGAACUACUGUUGGAUAAUCAAGACAGCUAGCCUGAAGGUCCUGAGCCCUUGUAAGCCAAAGCAAAACCUGAAAUUAUGACAUCAAAUAUAAUUAAGUAAAUGUAUAGUGUUUAUUUUGCAAAUAAAAUAACAGAAACAUAUUUGGCUUAUAAGGAUGCCAAGGGAAAUUAACAGCCAUCUGUAGGGCUGCUUCUGCAAAUACAUGUAAUUAGUCCUGGCCUUAAUUGUUGGGCUUCAUACACAUGAGGAUUAUAGAUGGCAAAAAUACAUACCUUUUUUAACAGAACAGAGGUGGCUAUAAGUCAGUCACAGAGGUGCAAGUGAACAAACAACUGUGCAAAGGAAAAAUGUUUUAAAUUGCAAUUUUCUGUGCAAAUACAUUCAAGAAAAUCUCACACUUUUUUUAAUAGAUGUAUAAUCUUGUCUUAGUAGAGUCUAUAUUGCUGGUUGAACCUACUCUUGGCCUUGACGCAACAGUUCCUUACAGGUACAAACAGUACAGGACAAAGCACAGGCAUGCUCCACUAGAUGCAGUCUUUUAUCCAAGGGCAAAGCAGCACAGGGACGGAAGGUUGAUUGCUCAUAGAUAGGUAGGUUGAGCCUGAUGCGCAACAGCCAACAUCUUUCUCAUUUUGCAGGUUGAGCUCAUUAAGGAAAUGAAGAGCAGUUACUGAAUAUAGAAAAGAAAAAUGACACAGAACAAUUUUCAGGAGCCCACUGAGGUUUGGGAGCAGAGGUGUAUGGGGACAGCCAGCCCUGGCGGCAUGCCAGGGCACGUAGCGGUGCGGAGCUCCUUGUAAAAUCAGCACUGUGAACUGUGCCUAUGGCAGAGGCCAGCAAAAACCAGAUAAUCUGGCUUAGUUAUCAGCAGGAAUUCCUCUCCAGAGGAGCUGUGCUUAUUUAAUCUCAGGAAUAAGACAAUCCUGACAAAUGAAAGGCUCUGUAGGUUCCAAACCCACCAAUUUCCGGCAUUUUAAUGAAGCUGAACGCAGAAAUUAAGGGACAGAGGGAAAAAAAUAAAGCAUAAUUGUGUUCAAUUUAAGAGUGAGAAAGAGAAUCCAUCCUGCUCAGCUUUUAGGAUUUAGGCUUUCUUUUUUCAUCUUGUUUCCUUCUGCUGCUCAGAUGGCACAGUUUGAGCAGUUUGUUAGUUAGCCUGCCCUGAGCUUUGAUAAGAGCACUACUGCUGCCUGCUCAGUGCUGUGAGAGGCCCUUAUCUAUUCAUAGUCUGGUUCUUUUGAGAAGGAAAUGGGUAUCACAUCCUAAUCCACCCAAGCGCAGAAAAAUUCAUUAUAUUCAAGAACACUUGCACCUGGGGAGGAAUAACCGUAUGCAUCAGUACAGGUUAGGGGCUGACCCGCUGGAAAGGAGAUCUGUGGAGGAGGACCUGGGUGUCCUGGUGGAUAAUACGUUGGCCAUGAGCCAGAAGCAUGUCCUUGAGGCCAAGAAAGCCAAUGGGAUCAUGGGGUGCCUUAAAAAGUGCGUGGCCCGCAAGUUGAGGGAGGUGAUCCUCCCCUCCUACUCUGCCCUGGUGAGGCCAGAUUUAGGCUACUGUGUCCAGUUCUGUGCUCCCCAGAUCAAAAAAGACACAUCUAGGAGUCCAGCGAAGGGCCACAAAAAUGAUAAAGGGCCUGGAGCAUUUCCCAUAUGAGGAAAGGCUAAGUAACCUGGGUCUGUUCAGCUUAGGGAAAACAAGACUAAUGUUUAUAAAUACCUAAAGGGAGGUGGGAGGCAAAUGGAUGAGGUCAGGCUCUUCUUGGUGGUGUGUAGCAAUAGGAGAAAGAGUAAUGGCCUAAAACUUGAACAUAGGAAGUUCUGUACUAACAUGCAGAAGAACUUCUUUACAGUAAGGGUGAUAGAGCACUGGAACAGGUUGUCCAGAGAGGUUGUGGAGUCUUCUAUGUGGAUAUUCGAGACCCAUUUGGACGCCUUCCUGUGCAACCUGCUGUAGGGAACCUGCUUUAGCAGUGGUGUUGGACUCAAUGAUCUCUUCAGGUCCCUUCCAACCUCUGUAAUUCUGUGAUUCUGUGAACACUUUUCAGACUGAGGCUAAGGUAAGAUGGGGAGGAAGUAAGGCAAAGCAUCAGAUAGGCAUCUGCCUUAUGUAAAACUGCAUUUGGAAAUCUGAAAGACCAUUUUACUCAAGAAUACACAUUGGCCUUCUUGUGCUGCAUGUCCUCUAUAGCCAUCAGUGUGCUGAGGGCAGCAGCUGCACCAGCCCCUGAGAGGAGGAAGAAAACCCUGCCUGUUCCUGCCCCACCACUCCAGGAGAGCGGUGUUGAUGUCAGUCACUUGAUGUCAGCUCUGCCUCGUGGAUGAAUUCAUUGUGUAGUGUCAAAACUUCAAGUAGGUCAGAAAACAGAAGUGCUUCCUGACCAGAACAGGAGGCCAAGACCUAAAUGUCACCACCUGGGGAGUGAGAAGGGAAGAGGAGCAGAGCCACCUCCACCAUCUACAGCAGGUCUGCCAUUCUUCCAUUCCUGGAGACCUUCAGGAGCUUCUAGGCUUCACUUAGGAUUGCAAAUGCAAGGGGACAAGGGAGAAGGAAGGACCACCUGGUAUCACAGAGGCUGCAGAAAUAUUAUGAGCAAUAAGAGGACAGAGCUGUGUUCUAGCUGACAUUACAGAUAGACUUUGAAGUGUGAAACAAGACCUUAACCACACCUGUUCUCCCCACAGGAGUGAAAACAAUCUUACAGACAAAGUCGCAACCACAAAACAACCUUUAAAUAAGGCCCUGGAGGUACCUGUCCUGUCACAGGGGCAUGGCACAGAAAGGGAGUGAAGGCUCUGCAUGCCCCAGCAGCCCUGUACAUGCUGAGGGCUCAUUUCACAGCCUCAGAUGCCUCUUGCUUGAAUGCUCAGGGUGUACCACCAUAGCAGAACUGCUUUGGACAAGUAGCUCCUUGUCUAGAAUGUUUAGCUUGGCAGGUUGAGAAUUUACUAAGCUUAAAAGAACACUUGGCUCUUAAAAAAAAUAAGAAAGAAAGAAAGAAAAACUAUGUGAAAAUUAUCUAUGGAUAAUUUGCUGCUAGUACUCAAAGAUUUUUGUUACACUAUUACCUGUCCAUUGGGCUGACGUAUUUUGGAGAUAUCUGUCACAACUAGAAGGAAUUAACAGUAUUAAUUUUCAUUGAAAUUUGUACUGCAAAUUAGAAUGAAGGAGGUUGGAGGAAGAAAAGGGACAACAUGAUAAGAACAUUCUCCUUCUCUGUGCAUUUGUGCAAAACGUUCCUCUGGACAGAGUUUAAAAUCUCAGUAAAAACACUUGUACUUUCCUGAAACACCUUUUAAAUGGGCUAGAAGGAAAAGAAAAUGAAUGUUCUCAUAAAAGCAAACAGAAGUGCAGAGAGAUAAAGAGAGAAUUCCCACCUGAAAUGAAAACAGCAGGAGACCGGUGGAAAGUGAGUCAGUAGUUGGAAUGUGUUAAUUGAUAUAAAAUUAGCUAUUUUUGGUAUUUCUAUCAGAGGGGAAUAUUUAAAAUGUCUUUUCUGCUACAAAAAAAGAAAAAUGCUUUCCACGCUUUAGGGAACAGCAUGCUUAAUUUGGAUCUGUUCUCCUACAUUUAGAGUACCCAGGAUACCCACUGCCCUGCCACAACACACUCUUUCUACAAGGGUCUGAUACCGCGUUGUGCUGUUGACAUGCAACUGCUGUUCUUCACUCCCCUUGGCUUUAUGCCCAUCCCAUGCACCUUGACCAGAGGCCUCACAACACACUGGAGAGGCUGUGUGCUGUCAAGGGAUUUGCAUUGUCGCUUUGUACACUGGCCAGACACAAGGCAAACUGCUGGCCAAACACUUCAACAGCUUCCUGUGCCUCAGAGCAGAAGCAGAGCUGCUAACACCAGAAAGGGUGUCAUACAUACGGCUCUCAGUUUACUCAUACAGCCAGAGGAAUAUUCUGUGGUGCUUUAUUUAAAAAUACAUGCUAUAAGAUAAACACUGUCACAUCCGUCCAGCACAGAGAUUUGUUUCUACUUUUCAAACUAAAGAAAGUCAGCGCCUGAAACUACUGGAGUACGUUGCAUUAGCAUUUCCCAGUCCUGACGAGUGACACGUCUCAAGCACAAGUUAUCCAUUAGACUUGCUUUCCAAAAAGUGAUACAAUUCUGGACCCUGUAAUCAUUCAGUACAGCUCCUGUCUGCUGUCGUAUCUUUUCAGUGGCAAAAAAUGAAUAAUGAGGUGGAAAAUGUGAAAACAAAAGAGCUUUUGGUCAUUUUAACCACGUGAUACCCUAGUGGCCAAACAAGUUAUUUUGAGUGGAAGCAGUUCCUGGUUCCAACGAUUGCUCAAGUGCUACCAACCCCAGUUCACUCACUUUGUGUGGCAAUAGAAAUGGCAUGAUAGGUAGACAUUGAUCACUGUCUGAGUGCACAGAGCAAAAAUCAAACCAAACCAGUGCAGUCCAAUAAACCUGUGACAGAACAGAGAUAUUAAUCAGCAAUACCACUGCUUAAUCAGUCUUGGAAAAGGCUGUGUGAACUAAAUGCCCUGACGAACCAAACUUGUUGUGAGUCCCACAUGUACUGCAUCCCAGAACAUCUCCUUUUCAAGGAAGGAAGGAUUUCUUCUGCUUGUUGGACUGAUAUCCAGGUGUCAGUGUCAGCAGACAGAUUCAAUUCAUAUACACUGAAGAGGGGCAGUUGUGCAGAAAUGUGACAUUGAAAACACCCUAAGGCACCAAAUGUGAAGUUUCUGAAGAGGAUGGGUUUCUGUGCUCAGCCAGGAAAACACCAUGUGUUUGUAAUCACCCUGCCUACUGCUGUUCCUUCUGUGGAGAUAACACUGUGACAUCUCACUCCCAGCUCCAUCUGGUCUUUGGGUCUCCCUUGCUCAUCUUGCAAAGAACUGACAGCGACUGGAUUUUGAGGAUUUGCUUCGGACAACAACCACUGGCAUCUAAAAACCAGCCUACGUGAAUCCAGCUGUUUGACUCUUCUGACUUAGUUUGGCCUGGGUUUCCACUCGAAUGCAGGACCGCAGUACCAUGCUCCCUUCCCCAUAGGUCCCAAAAAUGUCCUGUUGGUAAACUGAGAAUGUACCACCUCGAGAACUAUGUUCAUUCUCUGGUGUCCUCUCUGAGCCAAGCUCUCUUGGAAGGCCCUUGGAUGACGAGCAUUCUGUUCUGCACACUCCUGCACACCAGCCCUUCUCUGAGCCUUGUCCUGGGCUGAAUUCACCCAUCCUGGAAUGUGGCUGGCAGCAGAUGCCAUGUUCUUGAUGUCUCACCAGACCUUGUAGAAUAGGACUAAUACUUUCCAUCAGAUACUUUCCUCCCUCUUAGAGUCACUUUACUCAACCCUUCCUACCAGGAGGUGUUGUCAGGAACUGGCUGCAUGGCUCCUUGGCUGUGCUUCAGUGAUGCCUCCCAGAUGGAUGCUUAAGAGAGUUCAUGGAAGUGAUGUACAUGGCUCGGCCUCUGCUAGAGCUUGGCUUUGCUGAAGCCAUAGCAUUUUGCAGAUCUUAACACAUAGUAGUUUGUGGUUAUAGUAUAAGCCGUAUACUAUUUACAAGCAGCUCUACUGAAAACAUAGUAGUAAAGAUAAAAUCCUGAAUCUUCAUGCCAACUUUUUUACUAAUUUGCAAGGACUAAUUUGUGUUGGUAUUAGCAUCUCUCUUAAGGAUUGUACUUCUGGGUUGUUAACACAGUGAUUUCAGAGGUUCUGGAGUCGAAGAUGGAAAUACCGUUAUUAAGUCAGCACAGCAUUUCUACAGCACAACAGAAGGGAGCGCAUGUCCUGGCUCAGCUUUACAGUGUAGCUUUGCCUUGAGAGUAUGUUGGAGGAGACAUUUAGUUCUUGAAAAGAAUACAGAGUAAGGACAAUUCAGAUGUGAUGGAAGCAUGACAGUGUCCACACUGUCACAGUCCUCAGGAUUUCUUUUACUGAUGCUGUGAAGGUGAACAAGCUUAAGCAGAACAUAACUUCAGCAUGGGCUGUCAGCCUAGUCAACAUCCCCUCAGGGAAACGUGGUGAAGCAAAAUGAUGUCACAGUCUUGAUGCACUAGCUAAAAUGCAGUUUAAAGACUCCAGCAUUUGUUUGGUCUUUGUUUAAAACACAGAAAUGAAGCAAACAAAAAGCAGUAGGUGCAUUCACCGGAAGUGGCUUUUCUCCAACUUUGCUGCAAAGUAAGUUAGCUGCAUUGCUAGAACAGCUAAUGCAAAGAUAUCGUUUUUGCCCCUUGAUCUUUACCAGUGAAAUCAGUGGUGGUCCAGAUGCCUAGAUUGCAAGCACAGCCAACAAAAUCAAGUGGCAUCUUCUGCAGAUGAAGGCUUUUGUCAUAGAGGAAAGUCACUAAGGAUGGACAACAUGAAGAGGAGGAAAUGAGUACUGUGAUUCCUGCCAUGUUAAAAUGUCCCAAGUAAACCACAUACUUCCCGAUUUGACUGCCAGCAGACAGGCUGCUACAUAUGCAUUUUGUAUCAGGUGGAAACACACCACUAGCCUCACCUGAUUACUUCUAGGAAUAGGGACUGACAGUUCAUCAUCCAAUAACAUUUCAAUCAUUUGAAUGGAGAUUUCAAACCCAGGUACAUAUCAACAAAGGCUGUCUAUUAACCACAUAACAUGAAUGCAUUUUCGAAAGCAUUGGCAUUGUAUUCAUCUGCUGAAAAGCUGUGACAGUUAGAUGCAAACAAUGCACUCUCUGACUCUUGCCCAACACAAAUAGUUUGUCUUUCUGUUAUGAUCGGUCUCUACUUGUUUAACAGCAAAAUCUGGCUGAAAGUCCUUAACUGUCCAGAAUCUCAGCCAACUGUGGUCUCCUUGAAUGUCAGUACAGUGAGGAAUAUUUUGCAUUAAUUUUCUGUCCUACUUUUAUGGGCUAUUAAGCUCUGCCAAAAUCCCCAAGAGUUUGUACAAUUCAUUAUUCUAAAGGAAAAGAAUAGCGUAGGUAGGUUAACAUCAGUGGAGCUACAGAACAAGUGAUAAAAUGACAAGUUGGACCACUUUUUAGUAUAUCUAUCCAGAAGGACACUUGAGCUUUUCAACCUCAGCACGUGACCUAUAUCGGUGACUUCUGCAUCCUUGAUCUGUGCAUGUGCUUGGAAACUUUGGCCCCUUCAUGAAUUGGGAUCUACCCAUAUACACAGAGAUGCUGACUGCUGCAUUGUGCUGCUGUUGUCAAUCUCACCACUGUAAUAGUCUGCCCUGAACUGGGCCUCCACAUAGUAAACCAUUGCCAUAGUAGAAUGUCACCCUUUCCAACAUGAAUCCUGGGAACAGAGCACUGCUUCUUUAAAUGUUGUGGAUAGAAAACUAUUUGAUCCUAUCUUUGAGAUCAACUUGAUUAGAAGUUAAAAUUCUUUAAGCAACAAUGCCUUGUUUGAUGUAAGAUUUGUGCAAACCUAUAUCUCAUACUUUUUUUCUGAUAUUUGCUUCAUAUAAAAGCCUAUUUAUUCAUAACCUCAUGGCCUUGGCUAUGGAAUCAUCCAUAUUUCCAUCCAUGGAGUGUUGAAAUAAAGGAAAGUUUCUGCCUUGUCUGAAAGUAAAAUCUUGGGGCAAGUAUUCAAACUCACUAAGCAUAUACAUUUCUGAAAUCAAACACAUCAUAAUACUUUGUGAAUUCAGUGCCAUGAAACACAUUACAGUCCUCUCUGUUUGUCAGGUCCCUCAUUACAGCAAUCUGGCAUCAAAGUAAAUGUGUUAUUCCUUUUCUCAGUUUAUUUCCAUCUUUUCAAGAACAGACUGGGAUGCUACCUUAAAAGCCACUGUUCUCAGGCAUCUUCCAUAGCUAACGAGAUUAGUCCCAGCCAAGGGAUAAUCCCAAUUGAUUAGGGCUAUUAGCUUACAGCUCACUCUUAAUUACAGCAGAAAUUUCUCCUGUGAACUGAGAGGAAAACUAGAGUUCUUCUGUUUGGCCCAGGAAUGACAGCACUUUGAAUGCCAAAAGGAUACCUCACCACUUUGAGCCGAGCUCUACUUUCCCAUAAUUUGUUUACUAGGCUGAGGAUCCCAAUAAUCCUUUAUUAAAGACAUCUCUUUGAAAGCAACUGAAGAUUAUAAUGCUGCACUGGACAGUACAGGAAGAAGAAAAUGAGUGAGAAACUAAAUAACAACAGUCCUGCCCCCAGAGCUCUGCUUGUAGCACUAAUUCAGGAGAAGAAACACACUGUGAAAAAACAUCACAGCAGAUCCUUAUCCCCAGUCAGGGGCUUCCUGCCCAUCCCAGUGGGAGCUUGCAGGUGAGCCAGACUGGGAGCUGUUGAUUUCCUGUGAGGCAUAUUUCCAGCUCUGCUGCCUCCCAGAGCCUCUCCCACUACCAUGUGAUGGAGGCCAAAACACUGUUGUCUGGCAACCUCUGCUGUUAUUAUGGUCCCUUGGACAUUAUGGUUAACUCAUUCAAUUCAUAAAAAACCUUGAAGCCUUUCUAAAUUGUAAGAGGAGCAGAAGCUGGUCCUGUCAACCACGUAACUGGGGAGUAAUGAGGUGUCUAAUACUAAUGUCUCACUAUAGUGACCACUCUUGCUCCCUAGGAGCACUGGGAUAGCUGAAGUUUAAGAGCGGAUACGCUCUACUUUCACGGACAGGUGGGUGUUGAUAUUUAUUUAUGCAUUAAUUCUUUGCCUGCUGCUUUAGAAGUGUUACAUCCAUGAGCUCGGGAACUGGCUGUUCUUGGUGUGGGAAUAUGCCCACUUCAGCCACACUGUAGAUGCAAAGGAAAGCCUUUACUUGCGCUGCCUAAAGCGUCCAUGCUAUUGGUGAGGGAGAAAGCACAGUUUCUCCCACCCUUUUUUUCCAAACCACUAGCUGCAAGACAGGAGACAUCUGAAGGGCAAAAUUGCUUUAGGAGCACAUACAAACACCUGGCUCUGCUGAUCACAGACAUUUUGGAGAGACUGAGCUUUGUCUGAAGUCUGGGCAGCUCAGUCACUGAUGCAAACACACGAGCUCUGUCUGGAUGUGUGUUUCUGAGCUUCACGAUUAUCGAUUCUGACAGUUUGCUUGAUUUGAAUGCAGCAUGAGUGCCAAAUUGUGCACAAAUUUAGGUGGUCAGAAGCCCACUGUACUUGGCACACAAUUUCCCAUCUCCAGCAGUGCCAACAAGGUUCACAGCAGGACACAUGCUCGUGCCUUGGUGUGCAUGCCAGACAGCACAAACAGCUCCUUCCUUUUAUGCCGUCUUGGUAAUACCUGGCACAUUGCUAAAAGUGGCCAGGUGAUGUUCCAGUGCAUCAGAGAGCUUGCAAGACUCCAGCCAGGUUUUUGUUUUUUUUUGUUUUUUGGCAAAGGAACAAUGAAUGACUAACUUGUUAAACAUGUUUUAUAGAGGUUCACCUUCCUGACCUCAUGGGCUGUUCCCCCAUGAAGGGGGUUUUGGUCUUGUGUUGCUGAACGUGAGAUGAAUGUCAUGCCAUACAACAAGCCAUAGACACGGUUCUUCCAUAGCAAUGGUUCUCCGGCCAAGUUCCAGGCAAUAACUCUUAAUCAGCAUGCUAGAACUGCUUUUUUGUCCGCAAGCUGAAACUGCUAUGAUGAGAAGGACAUAUACCUCCACUGAAGUUUUUUUCCUUAGCCCAAAACAAUUUAGCAUUUUGCUUUUCAGACAGUGACACAAGUGAAAAUGAACUGAAGAGAACACUUUCUACUGUGUUGAGUGAUUUUCAAUGCAGUUAACGCAACAGUUGACUGUCUUGAAUUAAUCAACUCUUUUUUUUUUUUCUUUCUUCUAUGAUUAAUUAAUGAUUUUCCAUUAUGAUUUAUGGUAUUUGGGUUGAAGCAGAGAAACUGCAAUUACCAGAAAAAAUCUGAGAUUUAUGCAAACUGAAAUUUAUCAGUUUAUCUUACCAUAUAUUUCCAUAUAUAUAUAUUUUCAUAUAUAUACCAUAUAUUUUUGCCAUCCCUCUGAGUUAUAAGACUGUUGCAGUAGGCUCCGUACAAAGGCAAAGCAUUUGCUGAUGAAAAUCUCACAAGUCUAUGACUGGACCACCUUUUUCCUUUCCUUUGUACUAGUGGAUAGACUACAGCACAUUUAAAUAGAUAAUAGGUAUCAGCAGGAGAUUUUUCACUGUUGUGAAUAACAGUGGAAAGCAGAGGACAAAUCAGUAGAUGACAGAAAGUUGUUGAUCACAUGGGUACCGCUAAUGGUUCAUCAGAAGAGACUGCUAUUGGAUCUGUGUAGGAAUUCUUAUCAGAAAAUGCCUUUUCAUUCAAAUUGGAUGUGUUACAAAAAAGAAUCAGACUGAUUUUUUUUUUUCUAUACUUAAAAAGAAAAGAAACCUAAAAUUGCUUUUAUGUUGUAAGAGGAGGUAUCGGUAUCUAAUUUAGAAAUGACUUCUUGUUUGGAAACCUAAGUUCAUUGAAACUGAUUAACAAACGUGACCUGAAACUAUUAAAAACUGCUGGAAUGAAAGCAUUUAAAACUAGCCUGUUAUUUCUCUGCCUUCUCACUAUUCUCUGAAAUUCGAUUCAGGCUGUUUCUUUGGAAAGAAAAUGUAGACAACUACAUUUUUACUUUAAUUCAAAGUAGAAGAAGAAGAAAAGAUUUCCUACCAAUUCUGAUUAUUCAGCUGAGUGGUAAAUAAAAAGAAAGUUUACUUGCUCUUUUUGCUAUCUUUACAAGUUGAGACACCCUCAAAAAAAAAAAAAAAAAAAAAAAAAACAGCUCGGAAAACAGAUGUUUGCAUUUUCAGUUGCAGCUUGGAGGCUUUCAUUUGAAAUGGCACAGAACAGCCAAGCAGUUAGCAUCACGCUUGCUAUCACACUGGAAAAAUGUGAAUUAGAAUUAGACAUAUAUCACUUCAUUAGCGUGUUGGAAAGAAAACAAAUACACAAUAGUUACUCGCUGGAGUCUAAAUGCAAUUGUCCCUACUCUUACUGAAGAAGAGAGAUUACAAAUGUCACAGUUGCUGAGAGAAAAAGAAUGAUAUACUUCUCAGGCCAAAGAAAAAGUGAUUAGUAUGUCUUUAUCAAAAGACGGAAGCAAAAUAUCCGAAUUACUAUAUUUGUGUCACUGAGAAUGAGUGUAAAAAGAUAUACCUACUUUCAAGUAGGCUUUAGAGCAGAAGUGCAACCUUCUUCUAUUACAUGGAUUAUUGUAGAGGAAAAGGAGACUCAGUCAGUACAUCCAAAAGUCAUUACUCUAAGUCUGAAAAGCCCAGUGUGUCUAUUGUUUGCUUUUAUUCUUCUUAGGAAGAUGUUACAGCUGCUUACUGCUGCUGAGGAUAUGAAACACAUUCACUUGAAAAAUAAAGCAAUAAUUUGAAAUUAAAAACAAAAAACAAACAAACAAAACAAACAAAAAAUUAUGUACAAGAUUAUGCAGGUUCUAAAAGACUUGCUACAGAUUUGCCCUCUAGAUGUUAGCCAAUUUAUUUCCUAAUUCCUAUUUCCUUGCAUUUACCUCAUCCCCUUAUUUAUUCUGAUGUUCAUUUCAAGCAUAAAAGAAAGCUACUACUGUUGUGGAAUUAUCACGUUUUUGAUAGGGAGGCAGGAGAAAGAGGCUGUAGGUAGCAUUUUUAUUUUUAUUUUUUGUCAAGCUACAGUAACCUUUAUAGUCCUCAGGUUUUCAUAGAAUCGCAGAAUGGUUGCCGUUGGAAAGGAACUGGAGCUCUACUGAUCCAACCCCCCUUCACUUGAGGUUAAGGAAGCCAAAGCGGUGGCAGCCUAUGUUACUCCAGAGAUAUUCAGCAAAGCUUUUUUUAGGCCUAAAGAUGGUCAUUACACCGAUCAUACAAAAAGAGAAGCACACAGUCUUUCACUGCCCCACCUGUGGUGUCCAGCAGGUUCAGGUGCUUUGCAGUUCAGUCUGGGAGCAACCUCCCCAGUACUGUUUCUGUCUGUUGGUCUCCAGUCACUUUAUUGCAGAUGGCCAUAUCUUAGAGUCCUUCUCAUAAUUUCAUCAGACCUCACUUUAAAAUUAUUUCAGCUGUCACAGCAGUCCCAUUUGAAGUACUGCUCCAGAAGCUACACUGCUUACAAAUGUACUUUAUCACUCCCUUGGUCCUCAGGAGAAACUCUGUGGUUUCACAGAGGGUUUGACCAAAAGCUAAAUUAUUUUUUUCAUGGGGUUGGUGUUCAGUGGGAUCAAUGAGCUGAUCCAGCACCUGUCACAGCCACACAAAGGAGGCAGGAGAUGUGAAACCACUCAGCAGCCUUCUACAGAAAGAGCUAUGUGUGCAGCUGUGACACUGCCUCGCUCCUUCAGCUUCAUAGGCAGCUCUUCAUAAGCUGUUAUUAAACCAAUGUAUGAGCACAGCAAACAACACGUCACAGGGCAACAGCCUCACAGACUUCAGUUAUAGGGGCAACAGGGUGUCUCUGAGCAUUCUCCUGACUGUGUCUCCCUGUGGGUCCAUGGGUAACAGAAGAGCCACCGGUCUUCUGGUGUAAAUCCCUUCUGGUAUAACCGGCUCCUCAAAUGAGCUUGACCAUGUGCCAGACCUGUUAUGGAGGCCAGCCCAAUUUCUAAGCUCCAGGACCAGCUCUCCUUGUGUGAUGUGACAAAAACCAAAUUUAUGGGCAGGUUUUUGUUCAUCUAAUGAUUUCUGCUGGUAUGGAGAAGGCGCACGGAAUGCUUGAGGACACUUACAAAGGCACCUUAAAAUGUACAGAAAUGACUAAAAAUAAUUGUACGUGGCAGGUUUUAUCACCUCUCCAGGAAAAAAGCUCAUGCCCUCUUGAUCCAAACUAUCUUCUGACAUUGCAUCUUUAUCGUCAUCACAAGUUUUGUUAAAAGCCAGCCAGUGAGUCAUUCAGUAUUUAAAAGCAGUGAAUUACAGAGUAGGCACAUUGCAGCAUCAUACACCUGCACUUCUUUCCACUUAACACCUUCCCCUCUUUUUGGUAUCUUUUCUUGCUCAUGUACACAUCCCAUCCAAUUUAUCACAGUGUCCACUGGUGCAUAGUCAGCAGUGGAUUUUACCUUCUGGAUAUUUUCAUUUUUUUGCAGAAAUCGCUUUCAAUUAGUUUAAGAAAUAGGGGAAGUGUUAAAUCAUCUGUCACACAUUUACAGAGCACACCAAGUUGUUCUAUUUGGCAUGCAGAUAAAGGGAAAAUAAACAUUCAUUGAGCCCAUGAAUUUAAAUCCCUUAGAUCAAGAGCAAGAUCAAAGGUAAAUCUAAACGUUCACAGUUCACCUUUGAGCAUUUCUCCUUUUGCUUCCUGACUAACUCUGUGUGUCCCUCUAUAAUGGGCAGAUGGGAACAAGUCCCCAGACAGCUGAGUAGCAGGCAAAGCAUCUUACAUUUUUCAGAGAAUGUUAAAAUAAGAUGCAGCAGGCAGCCUCAGAGUCUGACUGCAUUCCCAGACACUCAGUUACCUUGCAUGCUAGUAAUUCAGUGCACUGCUUAUAAGAGUGGCAUCCACCAGUAAAGCCGCAUGCUCAAGCUACAUGCAGAGCUACAUAUCAGUUUUUAUAGUGCUUUGCGUGUGUACAUUAUCAGAAGCAGCUAUCGAGGGGUGUGAAAGACUAACCCAUUAUUUUGGCUUCUUGAGUGCCGUGGCUGCUUUUAAAUGUGCUAAGUCCCCUCUCUAGUUAUUAGCACGCUUUAUGCAACCCAGAAGAUGCUCAGGUAAUUUGCAUUUGCUUGAAUCAGACGGCAGCAGCCCGGCACUGUAUGCAGCACUGAGCCCCUCCCCUCUGCAACCCCAUCCCAAAUGCCUCAUACCCAAAUUGCCUGAGCACUUCUACACGCCCCUUUCAGUCUUAGCUGGUUGAACGUGCAAUGCCCUUUUCUCCAGCGGGGAAAGAAGAUCCUCUGCGCUAUCAAUAUUUCAAUCUAAAGCAUUCCCUGGGUUCCUAUGGAACUAGAUUUAUUGCCUGUUGCUAUAAGCCUUUUGUAUAAAGGUUGUUUGCUUUAGCAAUUGCUGCUCUUUGCUGUUUCUUAGUUUAAUAUGAACUUAAAGGGCACGAGCUUGAAACUGGGAAUAAAGGUACAUUUAACUGGUUGUUUACUUUGUGUUCCUAUUUGUAUAUGUAGGUGUACAUGCAACAGACAGACCUCUCCUUUGAGCAAACUGUUUUGCUAAUAAUUGACCUUUGCAUAUAAGCUAUCCAAUUUGAACAUGCAAAUACUGCAACUGAGAGGCUGGCUCAGAAAAAAAGCAUUUUUAACUUCUUUUGAAUGCAGGUGAUAUUUCUGGCUUCCGGUUCAUCUUUUAAUAAGAAAUAUAUGUGUAUGUCUAUUUAAUGAAGAUGCAUAAGUAAGAAGCUUCUAAUUCUGAAAUAUACCAUACAGCCUACCUGCUUUGAGAAGACCUAGAUUACCUUCACUAUGUAGUUCACAAUAGGUAAAGCAUUUAUAAACUUGUCUCUAAGAGGUUUUAGAGAUCUCUUGGGCACACGGAGAUACUGGAUCUGUAUUUGCAGCCAAGCAGAGUAGAUUUGUGCUACCUAAUGCUCUUAUCAAAUAUUAGUCUUGAACUACUUUAUACCCACUUUUAUUUAGAAAUCAGUGCCACGAAGACUGGUUAUGGACCUAUUGAAGUUUGAUCUGUUUACCUGUCUUCCACUGAAAACCAAAGUGAAAAGAUGUUUAAAAUGAAGGCAAGAUAAACUGAAACAAUUUCGCACUCCCUUCUUAGUUGGCUUAUUGCAACCUUGCAAAAUUGUCACGAAUAUUUAGCAACUACAAGUGCAAUCAGCAUUUCUUAAUCAAAAUAACUGAUUUUAAUGGGGCAUGGAAUGAGAUUAUUUACCUCUUCUCCACUACUCACUACUAUUUACUCACUGUAACUAUCUGUUGAGAAUUUACAAGGAUGUCUUGAUGCCUCCAUCAAGUUACUGAUACUUCUCACAGUCUCGCCAACAGAUGACUGCCUUUUGACUUGGUUGCCUUCAUUUUAUUUCCAAAACUGUAGGUGCUAAUGCAUCAAAUUCUGCGUUGUUUCAGGCUCAGUGUGAUCACUUCAAGUGAACCAGAGCGCUUACAGUAGUACUGAAAUAAAAUAUUUGUUUCCAAUCUGCCUUAAAUAAAAUAUCUAAUUUUA